rnacentral:rRNA from 1 species
AUUGAACGCUGGCGGCAGGCCUAACACAUGCAAGUCGAACGGUAACAGGAAACAGCUUGCUGUUUCGCUGACGAGUGGCGGACGGGUGAGUAAUGUCUGGGAAACUGCCUGAUGGAGGGGGAUAACUACUGGAAACGGUAGCUAAUACCGCAUAACGUCGCAAGACCAAAGAGGGGGACCUUCGGGCCUCUUGCCAUCGGAUGUGCCCAGAUGGGAUUAGCUUGUUGGUGGGGUAACGGCUCACCAAGGCGACGAUCCCUAGCUGGUCUGAGAGGAUGACCAGCCACACUGGAACUGAGACACGGUCCAGACUCCUACGGGAGGCAGCAGUGGGGAAUAUUGCACAAUGGGCGCAAGCCUGAUGCAGCCAUGCCGCGUGUAUGAAGAAGGCCUUCGGGUUGUAAAGUACUUUCAGCGGGGAGGAAGGUGCUGAGGUUAAUAACCUCAGCAAUUGACGUUACCCGCAGAAGAAGCACCGGCUAACUCCGUGCCAGCCGCCGCGGUAA